rnacentral:rRNA from 1 species
UACGGAGGGUGCGAGCGUUGUCCGGAAUCACUGGGCGUAAAGGGCGCGUAGGCGGCCCUGGCAGUCGGUGGUGAAAGCCCGUGGCUCAACUGCGGGUCGGCCACCGAUACUCCAGGGCUCGAGUUUGGUAGAGGCAGAUGGAAUUCCGGGUGUAGCGGUGGAAUGCGUAGAGAUCCGGAAGAACACCGGUGGCGAAGGCGGUCUGCUGGGCCAAG